CAAGUGUCGGCAGAGCUGGUGAGUUCUAUGAGGAAGAAUCUCUGCCAUGGUUCUCUCCUAGCUUCUUAUGGUUUCUGGCAGUUCUUGGCAUGGCAUCCCUUGGAUACGUAUGCAAUGCUUAAGGAAUCAGCCAUUGGUGGUGAGCCUUGAGAAUGGAAUCCCACUCCAUCCCGCAGCCCCUCUCAACAGCAAAGCAACAGGAGAGAAAGUCUUGGUUCCUGACCCUGCGCACAGUGGAGCUGCCAUUUCAGUUUGAUCACCUCCCCACCUAGAGAUGGGAUCACCAGAUGUAUCCCCAGAGAACUCCGUGUAUCUAUCUCAUCGCAUCCCUUCAACUUUUCCAAGCCUAACUUAGGAGUUCCUUUUUAGUGAUCUCUACUGUGGGAAAUGGAAAUAUUCACCUCCCAACAUUUGCAUUCUGA